UCUCCAACCUACACUGACAUCUCAUUCUCUGCACCUCAAUAAGGAACAGCCCUCUUGACCUCCAUGUUGGCCACAUCUCAGUAAUGGUGCUAAGCAUGGAUAUACUACCUUUCAUCUGUGUGACCUCGUGCACUCUUUUCAACAACCCAAAGGCCUUUAAAUUCACCGGGAAAAAUACUGACACCUCCAUUCAGUAAUGGAGAGGGUGCUGCUUCUGAAUGGAAAUCUGAGCGUUACUUCAACCUGAGAGUAUAAACCAAAAGUCAAAGAACUACAGCCCCUGCAUCAAAUCCAGCCCAUUGGUUUUUCCCUACAACAGCAGAGCUGUCCAGUUGCAGCAUAGACCACAUAGAUCAGUAAAUCUGGCCCUUCACUGUAAAGCUUGCACACUUCUACCACUGGCCUUGCUUUUUUAGAAUAUUCCACCACCAUAGUCACUAGUCAUUGCACCAAGGCCAAAACUGACACUGGAGCAGACUCCUGCAUGCUCAACUUUAACUUUGAAUUCAAAUUCAACAGCAGAAGUUCUCUGGGAAGCUACUGGGAUGAUCCUUCUUCUGUGGCUCAUAUUUUGGGUGGAAGAACUCUAAAUUCCUCCCAUAACCAGGGGAAAUGCUGAAGGCAGGACACUGACUUUCAGAGCAGACAGAAGUUAGCUCACCAGAAAGCUCUGGAUCAGUUUCUUAUCAUCUCUGGGCCUUUUUAUCUCAUCAAUAUUCACCCAGCUUGUAGUCACUACUAUUUAAAUCUUGGAGACGAUAAGGGAAGCAUCAUCUGUAAUGGUGUGCUUCCUCUGAAUCACUUAAACAAUCCUCCUUUCUCCAUCCUUCUUGGGGACAUAGCUGAGCCCCACUUAGACUCCUAGAGUCUCAUGAAGUAACCCUGAGAGAAAUGCCAAAUUCUAUGAAGAAAUGUAAUUGAAAUUCACAGAUCACUACAACCGUGACACGUUUGACCAUUUUUGUUUACAAUGUUGACAAACCUCUCCAAUCAUCCAAUUUUUCUGAGGUAAGCAAAUUCAGAGGGAUGAAUACAAGCAUAUUUGGCCUUUAAUACUACUGAUUAAGUAGAAUCAGAGAUAGAAUCUUUGAGAACAAGUGAGCAAAUAUAUGUUGAUAGAGAGUGCAUCCUCUCUAUUCAUUGGAAACUCAGCCUUUUCUUCUGAAUGGAGCAAGAUUCAAAAAUCAUGUUUUGUUGGUCACUAAGCUGAGAACCUGAGUUAUGUCCCAGAACCAUUUGGCUUCUUCAAAGCUAAAAUAUCACCUAUGAUUAGCUUUUCUGCCAUCAGGAAACUGAAGUCCAUAAACUGUGCAAGCUUUGACCUUCUCACCCUAGAGAUGCUGAAAACCAAAUCAAGGCUUGGCAAUAUCUCCCCUACUGGGUCCUGUUCCCAAGUUGUAAUCAAUAUGCAACUCAAUCUCGUUUAACUCUGACAUUAAGAAAUAAUGACCCCGAUGUCAUGCUAUGUGCCAGGUUUCCUGGAGGAUGGAGGGAAGAGAUUUGAGGACUUCAGCUGGAGGUGACCUCCACCUCUGGCUCACCACAGUGAUUCCUCCCACUCCUUUACAGGGCUGCAGCCUGCGCACUUCCAUCUGACUCUGCACACACUGCCUUUCCUGAAGAGCCAUUUAUUAUGACACACAACACAAAUAAAGGUUGGAACCA